GCAGUCGCCGCGGUAAUACAGAGGGUGCGAGCGUUAAUCGGAUUUACUGGGCGUAAAGCGUGCGUAGGCGGCUUCUUAAGUCGGAUGUGAAAUCCCUGAGCUUAACUUAGGAAUUGCAUUCGAUACUGGGAAGCUAGAGUAUGGGAGAGGAUGGUAGAAUUCCAGGUGUAGCGGUGAAAUGCGUAGAGAUCUGGAGGAAUACCGAUGGCGAAGGCAGCCAUCUGGCCUAAUACUGACGCUGAGGUACGAAAGCAUGGGGAGCAAACAGGAUUAGAUACCCCGGUAGUCCCUGUCUCUUAUAC
rnacentral:rRNA from 1 species